GAGUAUUCAUGGAAUAUCAAUAGUGGGAAAGGUACGCUGUCAACAUUCUUGAGUUUACCCUACUGCUAUGUUUUCCUCUGGUCAUUUCUUUUGACAAGUUAUGAUGACGGGUUAUGUUUUUUCUUUCAGCAUGACUCAGGUUGCCAUUACUACAAGGGGCUUGUGAUCAUCGAUGGGCGGAGAGUCUGUGGCAGACUCCUCCCAAUUGGAUCCUCUUCUGAUAAAUCGGUCGCUGAUUUGAUUGCUAAAAAUUCUUGUCUACAUACACUUGUCAUGGACCAAGGUAUAAACCUCGAGAAUAUUGUUGCGGCUUUUGCCACGGUGUCUGCUCGUGCACGUCCUCGUAUGAAGGUAAAUCCUCCUAACGCGAAAACAACCCCUUGUCGGCAGUAAUUCUUGAUUGAAUUAGGGAUUGUAUUUUCCUCCAGAACCAUCCUUCCCACCUAGGGAACUCGCCUCAUCUAGAGAAGUAGAGAUUUUUGUCGUAAUGUUUCGAUUAUAUUGAGCUUCCUUCCUCCUUUUGGUUCCUUUUCCUGUGGCUGAGAGUAAAUACCUCACUAUUUUCUCAGUCCCUUAUCAUUCACCCAACUUUUUCCUUUUCUCCUAUCUCUCUCAGUCUCCUAUUGCUGGCAUAAUUAUUUGGGAGAUAAGCAGACAUCAUAUUUUCUACCUUCAGCUUUAGGGUGAUAGGAAGGGUAGGCUGCAUUGGUUGGACCUUAAGGGGGUGAAAUUGAUUUCUUCCCUAUGAUCUGUAAUUCCUUUUUAUUUUUGUUAAAUUCUCCUUUUUUGUAGAUACUUUUCUUAUAAAAAUUCUAUCCCUCCUUUUCUUUCCUUUGCUUUCAUACCCUUUAACUUUUUCCUUCUGCUUCUUUCCCUUUCGAAACUUGUUUACUUCAAAAUUUUGAUUUCAUGAUGCUCAUCACUUUUUUGUUUAUGAUGAUGUCCGACUGUUCAAUAUGGAUGUUGAUGGGGUUGCUAUCCACAUCAGUGUGUUUCAGCUACAUAUCCCUCCUUUGUAUAAGGUUUGAAGAAGCGAUGAAGAGGUCCGAGGAAUAAUCUAUUUUCAUUGCCGUGACAAGGGCAAGACAACAUUGGUGAAGGUUACCGUCUCGUUUGCGUUGUGUGCUCUUUUCUACGUAUCUUUUGGUUUCGCAUGUAUCCCUUAUGUUCUGUUUGGAGCUUGGGUUAUAUCUCACUCUUACCUUUAAUUAUCUAUUGUAUUGGAAAUUACGCAUGGGGUUAUACAAACCCUUACAUUCUCGUCGUCCAUUUAUUGUUUUCUUUGAUAUUUUGGGAAGAUGAGAGGAAGGAUGGCAUGAUGCCCCUCUAUUUUGUUGUCGGCCACCAGCCAUGAUAGCGGGAGGUCCACACGUCCCGUCACACUCCAUUAAUGUUUUCUAUUACGAUCCGCC
rnacentral:lncRNA from 1 species